rnacentral:snoRNA from 1 species
UUAUCUUGUCCUGUGCCUUCUCAGCUUCCCUGUGCUCAGCUCUAACAGGGUGGUCUGGCAGGACACACAGUAAUUUCCCUCUCAGUUUAGGAGGGCUGUCCUAAGAAUAGGGCUGACUCUUAAAGGCGCGAGAGGACAAU